UCCCUGCUGGCUUAGACAGUAAAGAAUCUGCCUGCAAGGCAGAAGACAUGGGUUCAGUCCCUGGGUUGGGAA
rnacentral:tRNA from 1 species